AACGCUGGCGGCGUGCCUAAUACAUGCAAGUCGAACGCACAGCGAAAGGUGCUUGCACCUUUCAAGUGAGUGGCGAACGGGUGAGUAACACGUGGACAACCUGCCUCAAGGCUGGGGAUAACAUUUGGAAACAGAUGCUAAUACCGAAUAAAACUUAGUGUCGCAUGACACAAAGUUAAAAGGCGCUUCGGCGUCACCUAGAGAUGGAUCCGCGGUGUAUUAGUUAGUUGGUGAGGUAAUGGCUCACCAAGACAAUGAUACAUAGCCGAGUUGAGAGACUGACCGGCCACAAUGGGACUGAGACACGGCCCAUACUCCUACGGGAGGCAGCAGUAGGGAAUCUUCCACAAUGGACGAAAGUCUGAUGGAGCAACGCCGCGUGUGUGAUGAAGGGUUUCGGCUCGUAAAACACUGUUGUAAGAGAAGAAUGACAUUGAGAGUAACUGUUCAAUGUGUGACGGUAUCUUACCAGAAAGGAACGGCUAAAUACGUGCCAGCAGCCGCGGUAAUACGUAUGUUCCAAGCGUUAUCCGGAUUUAUUGGGCGUAAAGCGAGCGCAGACGGUUAUUUAAGUCUGAAGUGAAAGCCCUCGGCUCAACCGAGGAAUUGCUUUGGAAACUGGAUAACUUGAGUGCAGUAGAGGAAAGUGGAACUCCAUGCGUAGCGGUGAAAUGCGUAGAUAUAUGGAAGAACACCAGUGGCGAAGGCGGCUUUCUGGACUGUAACUGACGUUGAGGCUCGAAAGUGUGGGUAGCAAACAGGAUUAGAUACCCUGGUAGUCCACACUGUAAAC
rnacentral:rRNA from 1 species